GGGAGGCAGCAGUAGGGAAUCUUCCGCAAUGGGCGAAAGCCUGACGGAGCAACGCCGCGUGAGUGAUGAAGGUCUUCGGAUCGUAAAACUCUGUUAUUAGGGAAGAACAUAUGUGUAAGUAACUGUGCACAUCUUGACGGUACCUAAUCAGAAAGCCACGGCUAACUACGUGCCAGCAGCCGCGGUAAUACGUAGGUGGCAAGCGUUAUCCGGAAUUAUUGGGCGUAAAGUGCGCGUAGGCGGUUUUUUAAGUCUGAUGUGAAAGCCCACGGCUCAACCGUGGAGGGUCAUUGGAAACUGGAAAACUUGAGUGCAGAAGAGGAAAGUGGAAUUCCAUGUGUAGCGGUGAAAUGCGCAGAGAUAUGGAGGAACACCAGUGGCGAAGGCGACUUUCUGGUCUGUAACUGACGCUGAUGUGCGAAAGCGUGGGGAUCAAACAGGAUUAGAUACCCUGGUAGUCCACGCCGUAAACGAUGAGUGCUAAGUGUUAGGGGGUUUCCGCCCCUUAGUGCUGCAGCUAACGCAUUAAGCACUCCGCCUGGGGAGUACGACCGCAAGGUUGAAACUCAAAGGAAUUGACGGC
rnacentral:rRNA from 1 species